UAAUGCAGUAUUCAUUGAUUUAUUAAUAAAAAUAUUAAAGUUUGUUUAAAAUUUAGUUCAAAUAAUUAUAAUUUAAAGAAUGUGUUACGAAGUAAUCUGUGAUAAAUGUAAAAAGAAAACAUGGACUGGUUGUGGGAAACAUAAAGAUGCAGUUAUGAGUAAAAUUCCAGAAAAAGAACAAUGUCAAUGUCCUCGUGAUCAAAAAUGAAGCAACCUAGCAUGAUACGAAAAGGCUUUUGUUGGAAGUUUGUAUUGCAUUUUUAUUACUGAAUUAAGAAGUUAUACUUUUAUUUGAUUACGCAUAUUUAAAUGUUUAUUGCAUAUUUAUAGUUUAUAUUGUAUAUUUAUCUUUUAAUUUUUUUAACUAUUUAAAUAUAUUUGUUCAUGAAUUGUACGAAGUUCACAAUUUCUUUAUGAAAUAAAAUUUCUUCAGCAUAAUUUA
rnacentral:lncRNA from 1 species